GUGCCAAAAUACUGUCAAGAGAGCUAAACAAGUCAUUGACAAAUGACAGUUCAAUACUUGAAUGAAUGAAUGAAUGAAUGAAUGAAUGCCUUUAUUUGUCACUUGUAGUUGCCUGCAUCAAAAUUUCAGCCUUUCUGACUGUAAAUACAAUACACAAACAUCACAUUGGGGAGACAGGUCAGACAAGGUGGCAUUUUAAAGAAACAAUGAAAUUUAUGACACAAAAGGGCAGUCAAGGAGAAAAAAAGAAACUCUGCUCAUACUGGUUCCCAAUACACUGUAAAAAAAAAUCCGUAAAAAUACAGUACAAUCUACCGUAUAAACGUGAAGGAAUUUUCCGUAUUAGUCAUUUACAGGUAUUUUUCUGUAUUUCUCAACUACUGCAAUGCAUUGUGGGAAAAAGGACCCAAAAAAGGAGGGAAAAGUUAGAGCAAGAGCAGCCAUCAUUAGACUUCUUUCAGGCUUCAUCUGGAUUUUGGACUCUGGAGUUGGAGAAACUGCCUUCAAAUUUCCGUGUGCAGAGCAAUGGCCAAGCAAAGGAAAGACUUCCCCGAGUGAAAAAGAAGAUGAAGAUACAAGCUGGUGAUGAUCCAGAGAAGCUGGUCUCAGGAAAUGAAGAAAAACCCUGAUCACCUUUUCCACAGAAACAAGGUGAGUUUAAUGUUGUGGUUGAUUUAGUUUUUCAAGGUAUGUAUGUUACUUCAAUUAUAAACUGCUUUUGUUGCAACAGAAUGUUGUUAUGUGUAUGCAACUCUACGUGAAUUAUAAUCCUUUGUAGGGCUGUGUGAUAUGACCAAAAUCUCGCAUCCCAAUAUAAGACACAUCUCUCCUGAUAACGAUAUAUAUCACAAAAUAGUGCAUUUUCUGUAAAUUCUGUGAUUCUCGGGCAACUCGACUUAUGUGAAGUGUUUUUAGUUGGGCGUCGUGUACCUGGAGUCGAGUGCUUUGACCGAUGCAUGAAACUAUACAUUUUUAGACAUGAGUUUAAACGGCCGCCAUUUUCUUUCUGAGUAUUUGUUACACGCCGUGCUGCGAGGAAAAGCCUGUUCUAACGUUUGAGUCUAAGGAUUAUCUUGAGCACCUGACGGCUCUUUUUUGCUUUUCAUUCGUAAACUCUCUCGAAACUCUUUCACGUGAUUCUUGUGUAGGUGGUUAAAGAGGUUUGUCGUAUUUGAGUGGUGGUGGGGACCAGUUUGUGGCAUAAUUUGCAUAGUACAGUUUUCUGGUCCGUGUCAGACUUUUCAUAACCAAACCAUGUCCAUGUUACAGAGGUGGCCCCUCGUUUAACAAUAACGUCCUCGAUUUGUCUUGACUGGUCCAUCUGCUUGGAGCUAGCUGGUCCUUGCUGGCCAUGCUGGUAUUCUCUGUGCCUUCAUCUGCGUGGUGACUGUAAGCGCCAUUUAUACUUACUUGAUGUUUUUAUUUGAGGUCAUUUGUUUGAUGCAUAUUCUGAAAUUUUAUGUUUGAGAAUAAUGUAUAUCAUUUCAGUUUAUUUUGAAAAGUCUCAACAGAAACUUGAGCUUUAUUGUGAAAGGUUUAUGUGGAAGUCCGUCCAUAGUGUGGUUAUUGUAAGUAUAAGAGAAGGAGAGAACUUUAAGAAAUAAUAUAGCCACUACAGUGACCAUCACAACCAUGAAAAAAAUAUUGCCGUAAACAGUUUAUUUUGCAACACCACAAAACAAAUGAUAGCGUAUAAUAUGAAACGAUAGACAUUUUUAUAUCGUCAUCUGAUAUAUAUCGUCAUAUCGCACCAUCCUAAUCCUUUUUUUGUUUCUGUUGUUUAUUGUUAAGAGAUUUUACUGUUUUAUUAUACCUUUUUAUAAAGUCUAUGUUUUACGUCUUUAGCAUACAUACUGCUGCAGUGGAAAAUAACCACUUUUGUGUAACCGCUUGUGAAACCUGUUUCAACUACUUUUAGAGAAAAACAGGAAACGCCUAAGGAACUUGAAACGAGAAGAUUAUGCCAUAUGCAUGAGGGCGAAGACGUGCAGUAGAGUUGUCGAAAGGGGAAGCACGCCUUUACCCUUAACAGAGUUAUGAAACUAUACAUUGUGUAAACUAUACAUUGAGUGUAUAAAUAAAGAAGGUGGACUACAGUUGUGUGUGAGUCUCACUCAGAGCUCUCACCCAUGUACAUGCCUUAAACAAGCUUGUUGUCUCUUUCCUUACUUACUGAAACAAAAUGCUCAUGACAUAUGUUUUGGUCCUUCGAGCCGCAUGGGAAAAUAACAACUGUUUUGUUGUGACUCCAAACAGAGAUCUACACUGAUUCCUGACGUCGUGGGGAGCCCGCACUGAAGUCUGUCGACAGCCCUCUCCAGGUAGAGGAAAAAGUCCAGAAACGUUAAAUUCGGGUUCUGGCCAGUGUUUUUAUCAGUGGUCCACGGCGGUGGGAUUCAGUGGAACGAUCUAACAAAACCGGCUGCAGCGACGUUUCAGUAAGGUAAAGAAACCCACACGUAUACACUCGCGUAAAACGUUGUUCGCCUAUAGCACGGGCUGGUAGAAAAGUGCAGGGAUCCAAAAAUAGGUUCGCCACCGCACAGGCUGGUAUAAAAGUGCAGGUUCGCCACCGCACGGGCUAGUAUAAAAGUGCAGGGAUUUGCCCGCCUGAAGGGCCGGUAGACUGAUCCACUAAAAGGAUCUGCGCGACUGUAUAUUAAAUGUUUGUGUUUUUUGUGUGUUAAGAGUAAAUCAUUUUUAACAGCACAGUACGCUGCUGGAUUACUCUUUUGUUACUGUCAUUUUAUUUCCUGUCAGUAGCUAAAGUACUGGUGAGAAGGGAGAAAGGUCGUGUUUCAUCACAUAAAGCUGACACCGCUCCAGGAAUAUCUUGGAGUUGAAGGGCGUGUCAACUACCACUCCUAACUCUAAUACCAGAGACGGCUCUGCAGUAUUGUUGUAAUGGGUAACAAAGCUACAAAACUCACUGCUGACGAGCAGUGGCUAGAGAAAAAAUGUCCAGGCGCCGGACAAAUUAGUGCAUGCAGAUGGAGGAACCCAAAGAAAACUAAAUGUCCCACAUGGGAGGGAAAAUGUAGCCCUCCGCAUUGACAAAAUUAAAAGAAACCCUCCAAGCAGAAAUAAAUACUGAGAAAGAUCCAAAAAAGAAAAUAAAACGCUCACAAGAACUGCAAUAUUUUAAAGCAUGGAAAGAGGAGGAAGAAAGGAGAAGUGAAAAUAGAGAGAAAAAACAAAAGAAAAAAGAAACAACGUUACAGAAAUCAC
ensembl:lncRNA